CCAAUAGCGUAUGCAAAAGUUGUUGCAGUUAAAAAGCUCGUAGUUGAAUUUCGGGGUUAGUAGGUUGGUCAUGCCUCUGGUAUGUACUGGUCUCACUGAUUCCUCCUUCCUGAUGAGCCGUAAUGCCAUUAAUUUGGUGUUGCGGGGAAUUUGGACUGUUACUUUGAAAAAAUUAGAGUGUUUAAAGCAAGCUAACGCUUGAAUACAUUAGCAUGGAAUAAUGAAAUAGGACGUUCGAUCCUAUUUUGUUGGUUUCUAGGAUUGACGUAAUGAUUAAUAGGGAUAGUUGGGGGCAUUAGUAUUCAGUUGUCAGAGGUGAAAUUCUUGGAUUUAUUGAAGACUAACUACUGCGAAAGCAUUUGCCAAGGAUGUUUUCAUUAAUCAAGAACGAAGGUUAGGGGAUCGAAGACGAUCAGAUACCGUCGUAGUCUUAACCAUAAACUAUGCCGACUAGGGAUCGGAUGAUGUUAAUUUUUUAAUGACUCAUUCGGCGCCUUACG
rnacentral:rRNA from 1 species